CCGAAAUUUAAAACUCACAACGCGAGUCUCGUGCGGAAGCAAAUAUGACUGCCGAGACUUUGUGACUCUUCAAGUCUUCCUUUGCUCAAGUCAAACCACACUCGUGAAGCACAUGUGACGAGUCUGUGGGGAGCAUCGGGAGCACUGCGUUUCCUUCGGGAUUCACAGUCUAAAAAAACGAAUUGUAAAAGUAUAUAUAUAACAAAAAAAGACGAAAAAAU
rnacentral:misc_RNA from 1 species